AUCCAGCUGACGAACCCUAAAUCGGACGAAACGCACGUCCUGUAU
rnacentral:hammerhead_ribozyme from 1 species